rnacentral:rRNA from 1 species
GACGAACGCUGGCGGCGUGCUUAACACAUGCAAGUCGAACGGAAAGGCCCUGCUUUUGUGGGGUGCUCGAGUGGCGAACGGGUGAGUAACACGUGAGUAACCUGCCCUUGACUUUGGGAUAACUUCAGGAAACUGGGGCUAAUACCGGAUAGGAGCUCCUGCUGCAUGGUGGGGGUUGGAAAGUUUCGGCGGUUGGGGAUGGACUCGCGGCUUAUCAGCUUGUUGGUGGGGGAGUGGCUUACCAAGGCUUUGACGGGUAGCCGGCCUGAGAGGGUGACCGGCCACAUUGGGCCUGAGAUACGGACCAGACUCCUACGGGAGGCAGCAGUGGGGAAUAUUGCACAAUGGGCGGAAGCCUGAUGCAGCAACGCCGCGUUCGGGAUGACGGCCUUCGGGUUGUAAACCGCUUUCGCCUGUGACGAAGCGUGAGUGACGGUAAUGGGUAAAGAAGCACCGGCUAACUACGUG